rnacentral:rRNA from 1 species
CAGCAGUAGCCGCGGUAAUACGAGGGGGGCAAGCGUUGUUCGGAAUUAUUGGGCGUAAAGCGCACGUAAGCGGAUCCUUAAGUCAGAGGUGAAAUCCCAAGGCUCAACCUUGGAACUGCCUUUGAUACUGGGGAUCUCGAGUUCGGGAGAGGUGAGUGGAACUGCGAGUGUAGAGGUGAAAUUCGUAGAUAUUCGCAAGAACACCAGUGGCGAAGGCGGCUCACCGGCCCGAUACUGACGCUGAGGUGCGAAAGCGUGGGGAGCAAACAGGAUUAGAUACCCCUGUAGUCCCUGUCUCUUAUAC